rnacentral:lncRNA from 1 species
AUGAUAAUACACACAAAAACUGGUGGCCAUAAGCAAAAAAAUCUGGAAAUACCCAAUUCUUUACUCUGGGUUAAAAGAGAUUUACGAGAGACCUGGUCUUUAGAAAAUGCAUUGGACAUCCAAGUUCAGAACCCUACUUCUGCAUUCAGACAGGCAGGGGAUGCCUCAUCCUUUGAAUACUGGCACAUUAAGAGCAGUCACAUAGGAAAAAAGAAUGGAAGAAACAGAAAGUACUGGGCACAAUGUAUCCAACACUGUGUUUUGAAUGACUCCAGAUUCUAUGACUGCCUAGAGGGGUUUUGCUGGAUCAGUGCAAUGUCAUUCAACAAUUAG